CACAGAGCCUUGUCUUUCUGUUGAACUCUGUAAACCCAGAUCUAACCUACUGUACCAUUGCAAAUGCAACUUUCUUUUUCUUUGUUGAAGGGACAACAUAACCAGGCCUUUCUUACCCAACAGUGCAACUGAAGGACCUGCCGUGCUGCACCUGGAUGUGGUGGAAAGUUUGAUGGCUUCAGCAGCUCUGAACUGUGCUCCAGCUGCCCAGCAUGAUGUCUGCUUAAAAGGGCAGCUGUGCAACCAGGGAACACACCUGAUUAUUUCCUGAUCAGGGCUGUCCUGCGUAAAGGAGUGGUUUCCACUGUGUACCAUCCGGACGUGCAACAUUCCCCCCCAACACUGCUACUCCUUUCUCUGCUCUUGUCCUGGAGGUGGCUACAGAGGAGGGGCAGCAGGAUGCCAUGCUGGCCCAGGAGGGAAAGAAGAGGCCACUGUGCUGUGUGGCACUGCAGCAAGAAGCAGGGCAGAGGCCACCGUGCUGGGCUGCAGGAAUGCUGGAUAUCUGCACACUGCAGGAAAACAUGAGGAAGGAGUCAUGUGUGGAGUUAGUGACUCACACAAUUAAGAUUUGGCAUGGCUGAGUGGGAAGAUAGCAACAUGGUUUUCCCAUAAAAGGGGCAAAUAUGUUAUUGCUGUGGUAUAUGAGAUUUAAUUAAAUGGCAAGGUCAAUUCAAAUGCUUCCAGAGCUUUUGUUUGGAAGCUUGCAAGGCUUUGUUUCCUGCUAAAGCUGUUCAUUGAGUAUUACCAAUUAGUUCCCCUGAAAAUGAGACCGAUUUCAUAGCAGAGACUAUAACACUCUGGGCUUCUGUUGAAAAGCUGUGUUCAAGUCAGUUCCUUGGUGAGUAUUUAAGCAGAGUAGCUUCAACAGGAACAUGAAUUAAUAGCUUGAACAGAGUAUCACCUUGGAAAUGCUUACUGCCCACCAGGCUAGAGGAGAGUGAAGUCUGCCUGAGUCCUUAGUCUCUCAUUUGCAGCACCUGUUAGUUAUUACCUGUUUCUCUCAGAUUUUGACCAGAAGUUUUUUCUUUGUCUGGAGAAGGAAUUUCAAUUUAGUGCCAGGAGAGCGGGAAACCUUUAAAUGAACAAACCCCCCUCCUAACAGGACAACAUAGAGACGAUUUGCAGUUUCCUUUUAGCAAAUGCCUUAGCCCUGUGUUAUUUCAUUUAUGGUGUUUUGUACUGGUGAGUUCAUCAAAAUGUGUCAGUUCCAUGGGGUUUUUGGCUCCAAGACCACUGCCGUUUGCUGGUAAGCCUUGACCUUUACUCAAGACAUCUGGUGGCAAUUUUGCUGUGCACAGACACUCUCCAUCUCCCUCAAGGAAAGCACCUGUACAGUGGCACUGAUUGCGCUGCUGUUU